GUCUACGGCCAUGCCACCCUGAACACGCCCGAUCUCGUCUGACCUCGGAAGCUAAAGCAGGGUCGGGCCUGGUUAGUACUUGGAUGGGAGACUCCUAGGAAGACCAGGUGCUGUAGGCU
rnacentral:rRNA from 1 species